rnacentral:rRNA from 1 species
GAUGAACGCUGGCGGCGUGCCUAAUACAUGCAAGUAGAACGCUGAAGGAGGAGCUUGCUCUUCUGGAUGAGUUGCGAACGGGUGAGUAACGCGUAGGUAACCUGCCUGGUAGCGGGGGAUAACUAUUGGAAACGAUAGCUAAUACCGCAUGACAACAGUUAUUGCAUGAUAACUGUUUAAAAGGGGCAACUGCUCCACUACCAGAUGGACCUGCGUUGUAUUAGCUAGUUGGUGAGGUAACGGCUCACCAAGGCGACGAUUCAUAGCCGACCUGAGAGGGUGAUCGGCCACACUGGGACUGAGACACGGCCCAGACUCCUACGGGAGGCAGCAGUAGGGAAUCUUCGGCAAUGGACGGAAGUCUGACCGAGCAACGCCGCGUGAGUGAAGAAGGUUUUCGGAUCGUAAAGCUCUGUUGUAAGAGAAGAACGAGUGUGAGAGUGGAAAGUUCACACUGUGACGGUAUCUUACCAGAAAGGGACGGCUAACUACGUG